CAUGAUGCAUCCAUGCUGACAAAGAAAGACGAUAAUGACUUGGUUGUGAACACCCAGAGCACGAUACAUCCAUGCUGACAUAGAAAGGCAGUAAUGACUUGGUUGUGAACACCCAGAGCACGAUACAUCCAUGCUGACAUAGAAAGGCAGUAAUGACUUGGUUGCGAACACCCAGAGCACGCUACAUCCAUGCUGACAAAGAAAGGCAGUAAUGACUUGGUUGUGAACACCUCGAGCACGAUACAUCCAUGCUGACAAAGAAAGGCAGUAAUGACUUGGUUGUGAACACCUAGAGCAUGAUACAUCCAUGCUGACAAAGAAAGACGAUAAUGACUUGGUUGUGAACACCCAGAGCACGAUACAUCCAUGCUGACAUAGAAAGGUAGUAAUGACUUGGUUGUGAACACCCAGAGCACGAUACAUCCAUGCUGACAUAGAAAGGCAGUAAUGACUUGGUUGUGAACACCCAGAGCACGCUACAUCCAUGCUGACAAAGAAAGGCAGUAAUGACUUGGUUGUGAACACCUCGAGCACGAUACAUCCAUGCUGACAUAGAAAGGCAGUAAUGACUUUGUUGAUAACACCCAGAGCACGAUACAUCCAUGCUGACAUAGAAAGGCAGUAAUGACUUUGUUGAUAACACCCAGAGCACGAUACAUCCAUGCUGACAUAGAAAGGCAGUAAUGACUUGGUUGUAAACACCCAGAGCACAAUACAUCCAUGCUGACAUAGAAAAGCAGUAAUGACUUGGUUGUGAACACCCAGAGCACAAUACAUCCAUGCUGACAUAGAAAAGCAGUAAUGACUUGGUUGUGAACACCCAGAGCACAAUACAUCCAUUGGGUGUGCAUCAGACGGGAAUUCUGCCUAUUAUUGUAAACAAGUUGUUAAAAGUGAACACGUCUGGUUUUGUUAUGAGCACUUCCCACUCAGAGCCCAAAGGUCCUCUCAUUGAAUCGAUGCAAAAGAAGACUUUGAAAAAUGACAGCAGUUGUGUUGUGUGGUCCAGUAAUCCUUUCAACUCUCAACCUGAAGUUUAUCAAAACUCAAACUCAGCCCUUUGCAAUAUUACACUUGCAACACAGUGUACUUUACAAUGAAUGUUUCGCAGUUUAAAACACCAAAAUUUCAAUUUAAAGUUUGUGCACGUAACAUAUUGAUACAUUGCUAUUCUGAGUUCUAAUUGCGAUAUCCUCAAUAUCAAUAAUAUAUGAAAUGUUUGGCAUUCAAAAAAGAGGUGUGUAAAGUAAUUUGUUACAGUGCAUAUUCAUUUGUCACUAAAAAGAUCAGAGUUUAGUUUGCUUGUCAUUUCCUUUUAAGCAAACAUUAUUAGACAACAAAACAAACGUUUUUUAAGUGAAAGUGCAAGACAAUUCCGACCCAGUUUGGGCACAAAUACAACAACUAAUUAAAGAAAUUCAGUUUGUCUUGCGUCAGCCUACAUGUAGGAAGCCUCUUAUAAACAUCUCCCAAGAAGGCUACAUCAACGCUUCCAACAACCGAGCUGGGCAUCGACACAUUGUUCCGAACGAGUCGCUCGAACUGAAACGAUCUGAUUCAACAGAGAGCAGGUGUUGCGUGACUCGUCUGUUAAUGUGACUGACCUCGAUAUGUUGCUUUCCAAAAAUGUGAGCCUUACUACAGAUGAGCUGUCUGCGAUUGACGCAAUUCAACAACAGUUCCGGGUUUUGGAUGGCGAAUAGGCGUCAGGGCUUCAUCUCUGUCGUUGGCCUGGUCGCAGCAGAAGCAGCAACAAGAACAGCAAUAAGUUUAAGAGACGUGAUCUGGGAUAUGGGGCUUCAUGAAUGUGCUUUAAGUGUCAUCCCAUAUUAGCCUGUGCAGAAUGCACAUACAUUGAGUCCUAUAUAAGUGUCAUCUCCGAUUAGCCUGUGCAGACUGCACAUACAUUCAGUCCUAUUAAAGUGUCAUCCCAUAUUAGCCUGUGCAGACUGCACAUACAUUGAGUCCUAUAUAAGUGUCAUCUCCGAUUAGCCUGUGCAGACUGCACAUACAUUCAGUCCUAUUAAAGUGUCAUCCCAUAUUAGCCUGUGCAGACUGCACAUACAUUAAGUUCUAUUUAAGUGUCAUCCCAGAUUAGCCUGUGCAGACUGCACAUAUAUUACGCCCUAUUAAAGUGUCAUCUCUGAUUAGCCUGUGCAGACUGCACAUACUUUAAGCCCUAUUAAAGUGUCAUCUCAUAUUAGCCUGUGCAGACUGCACAUACUUUAAGCCCUAUUAAAGUGUCAUCCCAAAUUAGCCUGUGCAGACUGCACAUACAUUAAGUCCUAUUAAAGUGUCAUCCCAGAUUAGCCUGUGCAGACUGCACAUACAUUAAGUCAUAUUAAAGUGUCAUCCCAGAUUAGCCUGUGCAGACUGCACAUACAUUAAGCCCUAUUUUCCCAGAAUGAGGCUCAUAUAGUUCACUUAACAUCAGUAUUUUUUCUGCCUGAUUGAGAAAAAGGUCCAAGCAUCAAAUGAGCCGGUUCCUACAGGAUCCCAUGCAGUCAUAGAUCGGUACCCAGCUGAACAACAGGCUGUUUGGUAAGCUGGGCCCGGAUAGGUGCAGCCAGUCUAAAGCUGGGGCUCCAAACUUUCCUGCCAAGUGGGCUGAUAUUACCUCUUCUACAAGGGACAUAUGUCAGUGAUGCGCAAAAAGCUGGUGUUCUUUUUACAGAGAAAAAUCCUAACAACUCCAACUCAGCCACUACAUCUCAAUAGACAACCCGAAUAUCAAGGCGUUAAGUUUCUUCUGGAUGCAGUUACAGACACAGCUUUCAAGCCAGCAGCUGUUGAUGUAUUGAGAUUCUCUCCUCUCCAUGUUACCUGACCUGCUGCCUGUGAACAUUCUGCACAUAGAACCUUUAUCCCAAUCGAUGUAAUUAAACCGGCCAAUCAAAAAGACAGCCUGGUACAGCACUUGUCAUUAGAUUGACGCCAUGCAUGCCUUUGAAGAUCAUUUAUACAUACAAUUUAAGCAUGAUAGUCAAUAAGUGCCUGCGUUGGCUUCUUAAACAACUCGCAGUCCUGAGCAUUUACGAUGGAAUUCCUCAUCUUGAAAUAUUGGGAAGGCAGGAAAACACCUGACAAUAUUUAACUUAUUUAUUGUAUAAACAAGACAUGCUUAUUUUUAGUUUUUACCUAUAAAAUAGCAAUAUGUGCUAGGUAAAAUAAUUGAUCAGAACGGUUCAUAAUUGUGAUGCUUCUAUUUUGAUGUCUGUCAUUCUGUCUGUGUACAUUUCUCAUCAGUUUCCUCUUUUGAGGCAGUAUUUUAUCAAGAAUUUCAUGUAGUGAUGUAAUAUUAAAAUAUCAAAUAAUAAUUUGAUUUAUUCAAACUAUAUUAACCUUCUGUUAAUUAUCAAUUUAUUUAUUGGCAACAGAUACUUUGUUUAAUAUUAACAAUAGUUAAGCGCGUUAUAAAAAUUGUGUGAAUGUACAUGCAUAAUAUUGCAAUAAUUGAUGAACACAUUAAUGGAAAAACUAUUUAAAUAAAGUGUAAUUUAGAAGUGCAUCUUAAUUGUAAUGGAGUUUGUUUAAUUAUUAAAAAAGUAUGCUUUCAUUGUUGAAAAUAUGAUAGUAAUUCCACUACAAGUAAUUUUGUUUCAAAGUGAGUAUUUUCAUGAAUAAUGAUCCUAGAUAUGGUUGUAGAUUGUUCUUGUUGUAUCAUAUACUGACAUGCUUAUCAUUUGUGUUGACAUUUGCAUUCUAGCAUUAAAAGUUCAUUAUGCUUUAAAUAUUUGUAUGUACACAUUUGCGACCAGCUUUUCUAAUGAAAUAAGUGAAUAACGUAACACAGAUUUAUGUGUCACUGUAUAUACGUUUAUUUUGUCAUUUGUAAAUAGAUCAACUGCGAAGAUAAUGUUUUUGUUUGUACAUUAUUCAUAAAAUGUUGCCAUUUCAAACAGAUACAUUCACUGUUUGAAUUCAUUUGUACAAAAUUAUUUCAUAUUAAACAUCAUUUACAUAUCAGGCAAUAGAGAAAAAGAAUUGCUUUGGAUGAAUGAGCACAUAAACCUGUAUAGUAAAUUAAGACAUGCAGAAUAUCAGAUUAUUAACAUAAUAAUAUACUUAAAGCUAGAAACACCUUGUUUUAUGUCAAGCUUUUCAGUGAAUAUAAUUAAGCAACUAUUAUCUGGAAAUUUGGAAAACAGUGAAGAACGAUUCAAGGGAGAGCAACUGUGAUAUACUAAAUAAAAGUCGUCUCCCUUGUUAGAGUAUAAUUGUACCUCUCAACGUAACAAGAACAUUGAAUCUUUUUUUUUUAAAUUAUUCCACACUAUAAACUAUAUACUAUAUUCAUUCAAUAAUCACUAAAGAAAUAUGGUUUGCAUAAUUGUUUAUUUCUAUGCGUUAUACCAAAUUCACCAGUAUGGCAUCAAUUUAAGUUCAUCAUAUUUAUGUCCCCCACUAUAGUAGUGGGGGACAUAUUGUUUUGCCCUGUCUGUCUGUCUGUCUGUUGGUCUGUCUGUUGGUCUGUUGGUCUGUUUGCGCCAACUUUAACAUUUUGCAAUAACUUUUGCUAUAUUGAAGAUAGCAACUUCAUAUUUGGCAUGCAUGUGUAUCUCAUGAAGCUGCACAUUUUGAUUGGUGAAAGGUCAAGGUCAUCCUUCAAGGUCAGAGGUCAAAUAUAUGUGGCCCAAACCGCUUAUUUUAUAAAUACUUUUGCAAUAUUGAAGAUAACAACUUGAUAUUUGGCAUGCAUGUGCAUCUCAUGGAGCUGCACAUUUUGAGUGGUGAAAGGUCAAGGUCAUCCUUCACAAGGUCAAGGUCAUCCUUCAAAGUCAAACGUCAUAUAGGGGGACAUUGUGUUUCACAAACGCAUCUUGUUUUAUUGCCAAAAUUGGCCAUACAGUGCUAAAAAUUUGGUAUUCUGACUAUUAUUAGUGCAUGUUCUCAUACAAUAUCACAUUGUAUAUUUUAACACUGAAGCAAUUCUGACUAUUAUUAGUGCAUGUUCUCAUACAAUAUCACAUUGUAAAUUUUAACACUGAAGCAAUAUGUGUUAAUAUAUUAAUUUUUAUUUAUUGACUUGUUGUUGCUUGUUAAGGUGUCUAAUUUUGAAUUAUAGCUGUAAAUUGAUUGUGACUAUUUUCCACUUUUGAAUGAUUGCUUUUAGUUGAUUGUUUACAAGUUUAGUAAAAGCUGUUUUCAUGUUGACUGCUCCACAUUAAAUGUCGUUGACGCACAUUCACUGCGGCCAGGUUCCGUAAAACUCCCAACUCAUCUGAUGUCUUAUGAUUGGAUUCCAUACAUAGUGGUUGUUUAUACUCAGCUUGCUUUGCAUUAAACAUGUCUGCUUUGUUGUUGAACAAUUGUACACAGCUUUUUAUGUCCCCCACUAUAGUAGUGGGGGACAUAUUGUUUUUGCCCUGUCUGUUGGUCUGUUGGUCUGUUUGCGCCAACUUUAACAUUUUGCAAUAACUUUUGCUAUAUUGAAGAUAGCAACUUCAUAUUUGGCAUACAUGUGUAUCUCAUGAAGCUGCACAUUUUGAGUGGUGAAAGGUCAAGGUCAUCCUUCAAGGUCAGAGGUCAAAUAUAUGUGGCCCAAAUCGCUUAUUUUAUAAAUACUUUUGCAAUAUUGAAGAUAGCAACUUGAUAUUUGGCAUGCAUGUGCAUCUCAUGGAGCUGCACAUUUUGAGUGGUGAAAGGUCAAGGUCAUCCUUGAAGGUCAGAGGUCAAAUAUAUGUGGCCCAAAUCGCUUAUUUUAUGAAUACUUUUGCAAUAUUGAAGAUAGCAACUUGAUAUUUGGCAUGCAUGUGUAUCUCAUGGAGCUGCACAUUUUGAGUGGUGAAAGGUCAAGGUCAUCCUUCACAAGGUCAAGGUCAUCCUUCAAGGUCAAACAUCAUAUAGGGGGACAUUGUGUUUCACAAACACAUCUUGUUAUUAGACAAAAUUGUGUAAUAUUUCAAAAUUUUUAUAUCAAUUUUUUAUUUCGAACAAAAAUAUAUUUUGUUUAUUUGUAUGUAUAUUUCGCUAUAAUAAAAUUGUUUCUAUAAUAUAUAAACAACAUAUUUAUAAGCAAUAAACUAUAUUGGUAAAAGUAGAUUUAAUGUUCAAAAUCAUGUCUUAAUUUGUUCGAUUAUCCCAAAUUAACAUUUUGCAAAAGCAAAACUUGUUGAAUAAAGAAAACUUUAUGCAACGUGCCACCAGGUCUUUUAACCAUUGAUUGUGUAUCACUAACGAUCAGGACUUUAUCAGGGAUUAAUAAUUGCCUUUGCAUGGCUAUAAUGUUUGUGUUAUUGAAUUGAAUAAUUUCUGUAGUUUGGUGCACAUUAAUUGUUGUGUUUUUUAAGACAUAGCACAUGUCAUUUAAUAUAGUAUCAUUGUAGUUUUGGUAUGUUUAGGGAUAUAAUCAUGUUAAUGUAUGUGAUUUGCUGAUCCAUUUCUUGUUGUUUCACUCCAUUUAAUGCAUAUAGCCAUGCUUAGAGCUGGAAUAUUGUUGUACUGAAACAAAUGUUGUUAUAGUAAAUAAAAAAUGUAUGUUAAUUGUUUCCUCACUUCUUUAUAAGUUUCCCUUUUGACGAUGGCAUAUUGUGAUUUGGUCUGUCUCUCCGUUUUUUCAAUUGUCCCCCGUCAUACAUUGGUCAGACUCGGAUACCUUUCAAAUCCUUAAUAACUAUUCUGACAGAUCUUCACUUGGGGAUUGUUCUUCAUGCAGAUAUUAUGUAUGUCGCUCAAAAGACUUGUUAUGUUGUUCCCACGAUUAAUAAGGUAGUGGGAACGAGAUAACUUUGUAAUGAGAAUGAAAAAGCUUACCCGUGAGAAUGAGAAAGUAAGUCAAUUGAAUGACGUACUUAAUCAUAGGAACAAGUCACUAAUUCAUGGGAAUGACAAACUUAAAAACGUACAAGUUAAUCUGUGCACACGUACAUUUCACGCCAUGAUUGGUAUUUUCAGUAGACGAAGCCCACUCCUAUUGAGAGUAGGUUAAGUGUGUCAGGCAGAACGUUUUAUAAAAUAUGUGAUUAAUUUUUUUUAUGUACUUGAUUCAAUGUGGCACUUAAGGAUUAUUUAAGACAAAUGUUGACCACUAUCUGAAAAUGUAUUGCGAGCAACAUUCUCAGGCUAAAUGAAUGGGAGAAACAUGUGUUCGUUCUGAAAAUUUGUUUUCGUUCUUAAAGCUAACAUCUAGUACACAUUUAUAUGAAUAUUUAUUUUUCGUAUCAAACAUAUUUACAUGUCAUAUCUUCCAAGUCAGGGGAUUAUAGUGAUUUGGUCUUGUCUGUCAUUCUGUUGAAAUGUAAAGUAUAAUUGCUGAAGUGAUGAAAUGGCACACAUAUAUAUUCAACAGAAUACAAACUUAUAUCAAACAUGUA